CGGUUCCUACGGGAGGCAGCAGUGGGGAAUAUUGCACAAUGGGGGAAACCCUGAUGCAGCGACGCCGCGUGAGUGAUGAAGUAUUUCGGUAUGUAAAGCUCUAUCAGCAGGGAAGAUAAUGACGGUACCUGACUAAGAAGCUCCGGCUAAAUACGUGCCAGCAGCCGCGGUGAUACGUAUGGAGCAAGCGUUAUCCGGAUUUACUGGGUGUAAAGGGAGCGCAGACGGCAGGGCAAGUCUGAAGUGAAAGCCCAGGGCUCAACCCUGG
rnacentral:rRNA from 1 species